AAGGAUCAUUAACCAUAUUACGGGGGGCCGGACCCAAAGUUUAGGGCUCUUGCUUUAUUCUUUGCCCCGCCCCUGUCUGCAUAUACCCAUGUUUUUGCGUACUAUCUGUUUCCUUGGUGGGCUUGCCUGCCGAUAGGACAUUAUAAACUCACUUGCAAUUGCAGUCAGCGUCAGAAAAACAUAAUAAUUACAACUUUCAACAACGGAUCUCUUGGUUCUG
rnacentral:misc_RNA from 1 species